rnacentral:rRNA from 1 species
UGACCGUGCCCAAAGUAGCAUAAUCAAUUGUCUUUUAAUUAAAGGCUUGUAUGAAAGGUUGAAUGAGGUAUAAUCUAUUUUUAUUUAAUAUAAAAUGAAUUUUAAUUAUUAGUAAAAAUGCUAAUAUAUUUUUAAAAGACGAGAAGACCCUAUAAAUCUUUAUUAUUAGUUUAAAAUUAAAUUUUUAGAUAAUUAUAAUUAUUUUUAAAUUAAUAAUUUUAUUGGGGUGAUAAUGAAAUUUAUAUAACUUUUAUUUAUAUUUUAAUAAUAAUAUUUAAUUAAAUUGAUCCAUUAUUAAUGAUUAAAAAAUUAAGUUACUUUAGGGAUAACAGCGUAAUUAUUUUAAAGAGUUCUUAUCGAUAAAAUAGUUUGCGACCUCGAUGUUGAAUUAUGUAAGUAAUCUAAAUGUACGCAGUUA